rnacentral:rRNA from 1 species
AGCGUAGGCGGGUCCGUAAGUUAGGAGUUUAAUGCACAGGCUUAACCUGUGACUUGCUUUUAAUACUGCGGAUCUUGAGUAUGGAAGAGGGAGAUGGAAUUCCAGGUGUAGCGGUGGAAUGCGUAGAUAUCUGGAAGAACACCAGUAGCGAAGGCGGUCUCCUGGUCCUAUACUGACGCUGAGGCUCGAAAGCUAGGGGAGCAAACAGGAUUAGAUACCCUGGUAGUCCUAGCCGUAAACUAUGGAUACUAGAUGUUGGGGGAGUCAAUCUUUCCAGCGUCGUCGCUAACGCAUUAAGUAUCCCGCCUGGGAAGUACGCCCGCAAGGGUGAA